UACGUAGGGUGCAAGCGUUAAUCGGAAUUACUGGGCGUAAAGCGUGCGCAGGCGGUGAUGUAAGACAGAUGUGAAAUCUCCGGGCUCAACCUGGGAGCUGCAUUUGUGACUGCAUCGCUGGAGUGCGGCAGAGGGGGAUGGAAUUCCGCGUGUAGCAGUGAAAUGCGUAGAUAUGCGGAGGAACACCGAUGGCGAAGGCAGGUCUCUGGGCUGACACUGACGCUCAUGCACGAAAGCGUGGGGAGCAAACAGG
rnacentral:rRNA from 1 species